CGGUCCAGACUCCUACGGGAGGCAGCAGUGAGGAAUAUUGGACAAUGGCCGGAAGGCUGAUCCAGCCAUGCCGCGUGCGGGAAGACGGCCCUAUGGGUUGUAAACCGCUUUUGCGGGGGAGCAAUAAGGUCCACGUGUGGACUGAUGAGAGCACCCUGCGAAUAAGCAUCGGCUAACUCCGUGCCAGCAGCCGCGGUAA
rnacentral:rRNA from 1 species